CUGCCCCUCCCCCCCCGGACGCCUCCCGGGACCCCGCGCACCGGAUUAAUUGCGGCUGGUUGGAUUAAUUGCAACCCGCCGAUUAAUUGGAAUCGAACGGAUUAAUUGCAACCCACCGGAUUAAUUGCAACCCCCACCUGGAUUAAUUAAAACCCACCGGGUUAAUUGCAGCUGACCAGAUUAAUUGCAACCCACUGGAUUAAUUAUAACCCCACUGGAUUAAUUGCAACCCAUCGGAUUAAUUACAACCCACCGGAUUAAUUGCAACCCAAUGGAUUAAUGCAACCUAAUGGAUGCCCAGCGAAUUAAUUACAAGUCAUCAGAUUAAUUACAA